rnacentral:rRNA from 1 species
AAUGAACGUUGGCGGCGUGGAUUAGGCAUGCAAGUCGCGCGAGAAAUUUCCUUCGGGAAAUGGACAGCGGCGGAAGGGAGAGGAAUAAGUAGAAAUCUGCCCUCGGGACGGGGAUAGCGGUGGGAAACUGCCGGUAAUACCCGAUAACAUCUUUGGAUCAAAUGGUGUGAUUCCGCCUGAGGAUGAGUCUACUUCCUAUUAGCUAGUUGGUGGGGUAAUGGCCUACCAAGGCAACGAUGGGUAGCGGGUGUGAGAGCACGACCCGCCUCACUGGGACUGAGACACUGCCCAGACACCUACGGGUGGCUGCAGUCGAGAAUCUUCGGCAAUGGGGGAAACCCUGACCGAGCGACGCCGCGUGCGGGAUGAAGGCCCUUGGGUUGUAAACCGCCGUCGUAAGGGAACAAAUCUAUAGGGGUACUCCCCUAUGGUUGAGUGAUCUUAGGAGGAAGGACGGGCUAAGUUCGUG